AAGGCGAGCUGGAGCGGGCACGCGACCCAUCAGCUGUGCACGGGGACCCAAAAGUUCACCACAAUAGACGGUAAACAAAGCGCCCAGUGUCUGCUGUGCAGCCAGUGACCCACCAGAGAGGAAAUAACCUGCUGCUGCAGCAGCUUGGACACAGACAGACUGAAGACUACUGAUGGACUGUAUACAUCAGAUUUAGCACUACACGGUACCAAUCACAGCUGUGGAGGCACUGGUAUAGUUCUUUAUAUGUAAGGCAUUGAAGUAUGUAUAUAUAUUUUUAAUAUCUUUUAAUCAUGACUUUUUAUAGUGCUUCCUGUAUUGUAAUGUAUUAUUUAUAAUGCAUUGUUGCUGUUUUUUCUUUUUUCUUAUCUGGACAUUGAGUCUGUAAUAAAGUUUGAAUGAAUGUUUACAUUCCAGUCUUAUCUAUUAAUGAAUGGUGCACUUACAUUACGUUACACUACACACCAUGUAAAUGAUGAUUUUUUUUUUCUUAGCAAUUUACCUUGAUUUUAUUAUCUUAAAAAAACUACACUGAUGAACACUUACGCAGUCAUACACUGUCAAUAACCCUAUUAUACCAAAAUAUCCAGCUUUUUUUCUUAUAUUGUUUUGGACAUUUUUCAAACUUUUUUUUUUACUUUUCUUCAGACAUUUUUUCAUCCAUUCAGUAUUUAUUUCUUUGCGAUAUUUGUAUUGUUUACAUUUAAAGAACACUUGACUUGUAUAUACAUUUUUAUUUUAUGUCAUUGGUGCUAUCUAUCUAUCUAUGUAUCUAUCUAUCUAUCUAUCUAUUUAUCUAUAUUCCCCACCUUUGUUGUGCUUGUCCAUAGCUGUUAUUUCCAUUUCUGUUUCCAUUUCAUAAAAUCAGAGUCAGUCAAAUUCCUUGUAUAUAUGUACUGUAUGGCGAAUAAAAACUGAUAUUGAUUUGGAUUCUGAAAUAAAGUGUCAAGGAAUGGAGAAUACAUAAGCAUCUCUUUUGAUUCAACCAUGUUCGACCACCUGAGAAUACAGUGUGAACCCUGUUACACAUAAGGUCAAGAUUUUAGAUAUACAUGAGUCAUGAGUGAUGUCUGAGUCCCUCAUCAGUACUACACAUAACAUUUGGAUUCGCCACCAACCAAACUCAAUAAUAUUUUCAGAGUAUUUUAAAAAAAAA